GACGAACGCUGGCGGCGUGCUUAACACAUGCAAGUCGAACGGAAAGGCCCUGCUUUUGUGGGGUGCUCGAGUGGCGAACGGGUGAGUAACACGUGAGUAACCUGCCCUUGACCUUGGGAUAACUUCAGGAAACUGGGGCUAAUACCGGAUAGGAGCUCCUGCUGCAUGGUGGGGGUUGGAAAGUUUCGGCGGUUGGGGAUGGACUCGCGGCUUAUCAGCUUGUUGGUGGGGUAGUGGCUUACCAAGGCUUUGACGGGUAGCCGGCCUGAGAGGGGGACCGGCCACAUUGGGACUGAGAUACGGCCCAGACUCCUACGGGAGGCAGCAGUGGGGAAUAUUGCACAAUGGGCGGAAGCCUGAGGCAGCAACGCCGCGUGCGGGAUGACGGCCUUCGGGUUGUAAACCGCUUUCGCCUGUGACGAAGCGUGAGUGACGGUAAUGGGUAAAGAAGCACCGGCUAACUACGUG
rnacentral:rRNA from 1 species